GACGAACGCUGGCGGCGUGCUUAAUACAUGCAAGUCGAACGGAAAGGCCCUGCUUUUGUGGGGUGCUCGAGUGGCGAACGGGUGAGUAACACGUGAGUAACCUGCCCUUGACUUUGGGAUAACUUCAGGAAACUGGGGCUAAUACCGGAUAGGAGCUCCUGCUGCAUGGUGGGGGUUGGAAAGUUUCGGCGGUUGGGGAUGGACUCGCGGCUUAUCAGCUUGUUGGUGGGGUAGUGGCUUACCAAGGCUUUGACGGGUAGCUGGCCUGAGAGGGUGACCGGCCACCUUGGGACUGAGGUACGGCCCAGACUCGUACGGGAGGCAGCAGUGGGAAAUAUUGCACAAUGGGCGGAAGCCUGAUGCAGCAACGCCGCGUGCGGGAUGACGGCCUUCGGGUUGUAAACCGCUUUAGCCUAUGACGAAGCGUGAGUGACGGUAAUGGGUAAAGAAGCACCGGCUAACUACGUG
rnacentral:rRNA from 1 species